GCUACCCAUAACUUCUGAUGAGUUGAGAGAAUGUAUGGUUAAGGGGAAAGUGGAACGGCAUUUAAGGAGAAAGUGGUCUUGAUACCGAUAAAAAAAAGAAGGUCUUGAUUGGAAAUAGAAGUGCAGGGUAACUAAGAUUUAACAGAAGAUAUUGUAUGCCAGAGAUGACAAAAAUAGGAGACUCUGUAUGCCAGAAGAUCAUCUUUGCGGAAUCUGAUUCAGACAAUGUCUUCACAUAAGAAGAAGUUUUUGCUGUAGAAAGAUUUGGGAAGUAUGCGAAAAUGUUUUGGGAUUCACUUUUUAGUUUUGUACGUUGACCGAAUCGCUUAUGUUCAAUCACUUAAAGAGGAGGCAAUUCCAGAUCCGGACCAACCUGCCAUUACUAAAGAGAAUGCUAUAUUAUCCAUUGAUGGUGUUCUUUAUAUUAAGACAUCGAAAAGGGCUUCAAAACUAUAAUACCAUAGUAAGGUAUUUUGAAUUCUUCUGUUUUACAAGCUUUUAUACCAUGAAGGUCCCUCCAAUUUGUCAGAUGAAUGGUGCAGCGGUGAGACAAGUUAUUUUUCGAACUCCUUGAUUCAGGUAUCUCUAUCUCACUCAUAUUUAAGAUGGAUGUGCUCUGCCAAUACUCUAUGCCAACUUUUAGAGUUGCUAGAAGUUAACAGAAAAAAGUCUUAAAAUGAAAACCCCUUUGAGGCGAGCCUUCAAAGCCAUCUUUCUUUUAACUUUCAUGGAUACCUUAGCUUAUUUUCUUUUGUUGGUGACUUCAGUAAAUGUGUACAGGUUCCUUGAUAUAUAUUUCAAACGAGUUAUCUGUUUUAUAUGU